rnacentral:lncRNA from 1 species
CCUGUGUCGAAUACAAAAUUGAACAAUUUCACGUAAAGAGGUUCACAUACAGACAUGGAAUUUUUAAAAUAACAGGUUUAGAAAAGGUAAAUGUUCGUUUCUUAUUCCAUCAUAACCAGCGGCUUUGUUAUUUUUUAAAUUCUUAAUAACUUUGAUAAUUUCUUCCUCGGUAAUAAGCCCCAUACAUUACUUUGAGUGAGAUGGACGGUCAUUUUUCUGUUUUGGAGAAAAUCUAUUUUAAGCUUUCCAAAAAUCUUUCGGGUUAUUUUUUUAUAUAUUAAGAAGCUCUUUUUCUGUCUUGAACUGAUAAUUUUUUAACAUUUAUAUUUCUUUUUUUGUAUUCCUUACUUGCUCUUUUCAGUGACUUCUUAUUAUUUAUAGUUUCCUUUUAUUACAUUUAUAUUUUGCCGAGUGAAAUUGUAAUAUUCUUUUGAGCUUACAUGGUUUUUUAAUCAAUGUUUUAUUCCAAAUUAUGGCCCAUGAGUUUUUUUUAUAUCGGAAUUUUAUUAGCAAAGGAAUGCCUGCGAGUUUACAUUUGUUAAAGUAGUUAUACGUCUGUUUAUAUCAUGAUUAUCUUUUUUGAAGAAUUUAUUUCAUUAAACAAAUCAAGUAUUUUUUCCUCGUUCUUUCUUACAUUUUUGAUGAAUUUGGGUUUAUCCUGUUCAAUGCAUUUUGUUGAUUUCCUUUUAUGUGAACUUUGUUGUUAGUUUGACAGGAAUGCGGCUAUGAACACCUGAGAACAAUGUAUCAAAAAGAAUGAUCGUAUACUCUUCAAUAUGCUUAAAAAGAUUUGACGUGACUACAAAAUAGUCAAUUAAACUGUUACACAUGUCUCUCUUGCUACUCAAGUAGACAGUUUGGCUGAAUUAACUUUAUGCAUUUGCAUGCUGCUAUGGAUUACCAAGUAACGCCGGAUAUAGCUUUGUUACUGCUGGAAGACCCUUAAAAGUAAUUUGAACGUCUUCAAGUUGGUAUUGACAAGUUUGAUGUGCUUCUUCGUUGAAAAAAUGACACUGCAAAUUUCAAGCCAAAGAAAUCUUGCUUUUUUUUUUUUACAGUUUUUG